rnacentral:rRNA from 1 species
AUACGGAGGGUGCGAGCGUUAAUCGGAAUUACUGGGCGUAAAGCGUGCGUAGGCGGUUUGCUAAGUCAGAUGUGAAAGCCCCGGGCUUAACCUGGGAACUGCAUUUGAUACUGGCAGACUAGAGUAUGAUAGAGGGGGGUAGAAUUCCUGGUGUAGCGGUGAAAUGCGUAGAUAUCAGGAGGAAUACCAGUGGCGAAGGCGGCCUCCUGGAUCAAUACUGACGCUGAGGUACGAAAGCGUGGGGAGCGAACAGGAUUAGAUACCCUAGUAGUCC